GGCCUGCUCUUUUCUGAAGGAAAAUGGAGACGUGGAUCUGGGAGAGAGGAAGAGUAGAUCUGGGGCAGAGGUACUGGGAUGACUGGAGAGACGGAAGAGUGUGGGAAAAGAAGCUGGAUACUUUAAAUGCUAAAUACCUCACCCCUGCACUUCCCAAGAGAUUUCUCAAGUUCAUCACCAAUCAGCAGUAACUAGACACUGCACUGGACCUGCCCUCAAAAUACCACCUUGUUUGCUGGAUGAGCUUCAAAACAGGACCAUCAGCAACCCACCAGAUAACACAACAGCUAGCCCUUGCAUCCUUGAGUCCUACUUACAUAUAAGCACCCCAC